rnacentral:rRNA from 1 species
AGGACGAACGCUGGCGGCGUGCCUAACACAUGCAAGUGGAGCGACGAACCAGGCUUCGGCCUGGGGCAGAGCCGCGAACGGGUGAGUAACACGUGGGUAACCUGCCCUGAUGAUUGGGACAACCCGAGGAAACUCGGGCUAAUACCAAAUGUGCCCCUUGGCCUCAAGGCCUCUGGGGAAAGGAAGCUUCGGCCUCCGCAUCGGGAUGGGCCCGCGGCCCAUUAGCUUGUUGGUGAGGUAAUGGCUCACCAAGGCUACGACGGGUAGCUGGUCUGAGAGGACGAUCAGCCACACUGGGACUGAGACACGGCCCAGACUCCUACGGGAGGCAGCAGUGGGGAAUCUUGCGCAAUGCGCGAAAGCGUGACGCAGCAACGCCGCGUGGAGGAUGAAGCCCCUUGGGGCGUAAACUCCUUUCGAUCGGGACGAUUAUGACGGUACCGGAAGAAGAACGCCCCGGCUAACUUCGUGCCAGCAGCCGC